GUGAUCACUUUGACAGCACAUAUACUAAAUUGGAAUGAUACAGAGAAGAUUAGCAUGUUCCCUGUGCAAGGAUGACACACAAAUUUGUGAAAAGUUCCAUAUUUUU
rnacentral:snRNA from 1 species